rnacentral:lncRNA from 1 species
UUUCUUUCUUACAACCUAUCUUAGUUUUAAGACAAGGCUUUGGGAUUUAAGACAAAACCUUAUCUGAUUCUAACAAUGGUUGUGAGGGUCCUAAAGAAGAAAAAUCUGAAGUUCAGAGGAGGAUGUUAGAGGGUCGAGUCAGAUUCUUGGAGAAACUUGAUCGAUACAGAGCUAGACGAGUUGUAGGGGUUAGAACUCUUGAAGCA